rnacentral:rRNA from 1 species
UACGUAGGGUCCGAGCGUUGUCCGGAAUUACUGGGCGUAAAGAGCUCGUAGGUGGUUUGUCGCGUUGUUCGUGAAAACCUGAGGCUUAACCUUGGGCGUGCGGGCGAUACGGGCAGACUGGAGUACUGCAGGGGAGACUGGAAUUCCUGGUGUAGCGGUGGAAUGCGCAGAUAUCAGGAGGAACACCGGUGGCGAAGGCGGGUCUCUGGGCAGUAACUGACGCUGAGGAGCGAAAGCGUGGGUAGCAAACAGG